rnacentral:lncRNA from 1 species
GAUGCUCGGGAUAGCCUGGGAAGAAAGGUAGUCGGAGGCACUCCCUGACCCAGCCCAGCUGGCUCCCAGCUGAGCCCCACCCUGGCCCGACUCUGGCCUUGCCUCCCCAAGUUUCGACUGGGAGAGAGGCUCGGGAGACCUGAGGCAGGGAGGUGAGGAGCUGGGAGGUCCUCAGACCACUUUGAAUCCACCUUAAUCCUGUCUGUAGCCAAAACCCAGCCCCAGCGCUCAGUAUGACCUGUCUGGGGCCAGGGCUGCCCUCCUCCUGGCCGUGAUCCAGGACCGGCCUGGGGCCCAGCACGAUGUGGAGGCGCUGGGGGCCUGUGCCAGGCCCUGGGCUUCGAGACCACCCUGAAGACAGACCCUACAGCCCAGGGCACAGGGACGCUGGCGUGGGACGCACACUCUCCCCUGGUUGUGGCGCUGGCUGCGGG